rnacentral:rRNA from 1 species
CCUACGGGAGGCAGCAGUGAGGAAUAUUGGUCAAUGGCCGAGAGGCUGAACCAGCCAAGUCGCGUGAGGGAUGACGGCCCUACGGGUUGUAAACCUCUUUUGUCGGGGAGCAAAGAGAGUCACGUGUGGCUCAUUGAGAGUACCCGAAGAAAAAGCAUCGGCUAACUCCGUGCCAGCAGCCGCGGUAAUACGGAGGAUGCGAGCGUUAUCCGGAUUUAUUGGGUUUAAAGGGUGCGCAGGCGGAGGGGCAAGUCAGUGGGCAAAUUGCGGGGCUCAACCCCGUACUGCCGUUGAAACUGCAUCCCUUGAGUGCGCGAGAAGUAUGCGGAAUGCGUGGUGUAGCGGUGAAAUGCAUAGAUAUCACGCAGAACUCCGAUUGCGAAGGCAGCAUACCGGCGCGCAACUGACGCUCAUGCACGAAAGCGUGGGUAUCGAACAGGAUUAGAUACCCUUGUAGUC